GUAUCCUGGCUCAGGAUGAACGCUAGCGGCAGGCCUAACACAUGCAAGUCGAGGGGCGAUCGGGAUUGAAGCUUGCUUCAAUUGCCGGCGACCGGCGCACGGGUGCGUAACGCGUAUGUAACCUACCUAUAACAGGGGCAUAACACUGAGAAAUUGGUACUAAUUCCCCAUAGUAUUCGGAGAGGCAUCUCUCCGGGUUGAAAACUCCGGUGGUUAUAGAUGGACAUAGCGUUGUAUUAGCUAGUUGG
rnacentral:rRNA from 1 species